AAAGAACAUCCCUCCAUGGCCUCUGCAUCAGCUCCUGCUCCCUGACCUGCUUGAGUUCCAGUCCUGACUUCCUUUGGUGAUGAACAGCAGCAUGGAAGUGUAAGCCGAAUAAACCCUUUCCUCCCCAACUUGCUUCUUGGUCAUGAUGUUUGUGCAGGAAUAGAAACCCUGACUAAGACAAAUUGGUACCAGCAGAGUGGGGUAUUCCUGUGACAACCUGACCAUGUUUUGGGGAGGACUGUGGAAGGACUUUGGAACUUUGGGCUUGAAGAUCCAUUCGUUGUUAAGAGCUCUGUCGGAUGUUGUGUAGGAGCUUGGAAGAUAAUGUUGAGAACAGUGCAGAAGAUGGAGGCCUGGCUUGUGAAGUUUCAGAGGGAAAAUUAAAGACUCUUUUCAGGGACAUUGCUAUUUUGGAGUUUGAUUAUUCUGUGGUUCUGGUUAGCUGGGACUGAAGAAUCAGUUGUGAUUAACAAGAUACCAGAACUACUAAAGCAAAACCUUUGCAUUACUGGGACUAUUGAUGCUGGUUAGCUGGAGCUAAGAAAUUAGCGGUGAUUAAGAAGAGACCAGCAUCAUUGAGGUGACAUCUUCUGGAAGUGUUUUCUGAAAGCACAAAGAGGCUGUGUUCCAGAGAUGGCCAAGGUUGUACUCCUGCUGCCGUGGGACUUGGUAAUAUGUAAGGGUCACCCAGGUGGUACUGGUUUUGAAGGCAUGAAGGGGUCACGCAAAGCAGCUGAGGCUCGGCACUGUGAGAGGCCAUGGAAGGCCAUUGGUGAAGGUGCAGCCUCAGUUGCAAUUGAUGGCCCAGGACUGAAGGGGUCAUGCAGUGUUUUGGAGAUGCCAGUACCAUGAGAUGACCACCAAGAGCAGCAGCAGCAGUGGAGUAGAGGCAUCUGGAGCCUAGAGGAUGACGCGUGUGCUACAAAGGGCAUGGCUGGAGAAGUGACCCAAGCCCUUGGAGGAGCCCAGAAGAUCGUGAGUUGGAUCCCAGACAUUGAACGGUUGGAGAUUGAUUUUUGCUUUUGAUUGUGACUGUGCCCUGAUAUUUUCCCUCUUGAAGGAAGAAACUGUUUUAGUGAUGCCCACAGUUAAGAGACUUUUAAUUUAAAAAGACUUUGGAUUUUUAAAAGAGAUGGAUAUUUUAAAGAGAUUGAAAUUUUAAGAAUAUGUAAAGACUGUGGGACAUUUAAAGUUAUUUAGACCUUGGGGAUGAAUAAGAAUGUAAGGGUUGAGGCUUACUAGUGAUGUGUUUGUGUGUCAAGUUGACAAGGGGUCAGUUGUAUUGGCUAGUUUUGUGUCAACUUGACACAGCUGGAGUUAUCACAGAGAAAGGAGCUUCAGUUGGGGAUGUGCCUCCAUGAGAUCCAGCUGUAAGGCAUUUUCUCAAUUAGUGAUCAAGGCGGCAAGGCCCCUUGUGGGUGGGACCAUCUCUGGGCUGGUUGUCUUGGGUUCUAUAAGAGAGCAGGCUGAGGCAAGCCAGUAAAGAACAUCCCUCCAUGGCCUCUGCAUCAGCUCCUGCUCCCUGACCUGCUUGAGUUCCAGUCCUGACUUCCUUUGGUGAUGAACAGCAGCAUGGAAGUGUAAGCCGAAUAAACCCUUUCCUCCCC
rnacentral:lncRNA from 1 species